rnacentral:rRNA from 1 species
GGGAUGCCUAGUAACGGCGAGUGAAGCGGCAACAGCUCAAAUUUGAAAUCUGGCCCUCGGGUCCGAGUUGUAAUUUGUAGAGGAUGCUUUUGGUGCGGCGCCUUCCGAGUUCCCUGGAACGGGACGCCAUAGAGGGUGAGAGCCCCGUACGGUUGGAUGCCUAGCCUCUGUAAAGCUCCUUCGACGAGUCGAGUAGUUUGGGAAUGCUGCUCUAAAUGGGAGGUAAAUUUCUUCUAAAGCUAAAUACCGGCCAGAGACCGAUAGCGCACAAGUAGAGUGAUCGAAAGAUGAAAAGCACUUUGAAAAGAGGGUUAAAUAGCACGUGAAAUUGUUGAAAGGGAAGCACUUAUGACCAGACUUUUUCCUGGCGGAUCAUCCGGCGUUCUCGCCGGUGCACUUCGUCAGGUUUAGGCCAGCAUCGAUUUCUGUAGGGGGAUAAAGACUUCGGGAAAGUAGCUCUCUUCGGGGAGUGUUAUAGCCCGCUGUGUAAUACCCUUGCGGGGAUCGAGGUUCGCGCUCUGCAAGGAUGCUGGCAUAAUGGUCAUCAGUGACCCGUCUUGAAACACGGACCAAGGAGUCGAACAUUUAUGCGAGUGUUUGGGUGUUAAACCCUCACGCGUAAUGAAAGUGAACGGAGGUGAGAGCCCUUAAGGGUGCAUCAUCGACCGAUCCUGAUGUCUUCGGAUGGAUUUGAGUAAGAGCAUAACUGUUCGGACCCGAAAGAUGGUGAACUAUGCGUGGAUAGGGUGAAGCCAGAGGAAACUCUGGUGGAGGCUCGCAGCGGUUCUGACGUGCAAAUCGAUCGUCAAAUCUGCGCAUGGGGGGCGAAAGACUAAUCGAACCAUUAACGGAGACCAGCGGUAAAUAUUUAAUUUACUAGGGUGGUUAAGAGGCUUCUUGCGAGAGGAAGCCCUAGGUCGGACCUACCCGGUAGCUACCCGGUAGUACCCUUACCCGGUA